CAGGAAGCAGCUUGCUGCUUCGCUGACGAGUGGCGGACGGGUGAGUAAUGUCUGGGAAACUGCCUGAUGGAGGGGGAUAACUACUGGAAACGGUGGCUAAUACCGCAUAACGUCGCAAGACCAAAGAGGGGGACCUUCGGGCCUCUUGCCAUCAGAUGUGCCCAGAUGGGAUUAGCUUGUUGGUGAGGUAACGGCUCACCAAGGCGACGAUCCCUAGCUGGUCUGAGAGGAUGACCAGCCACACUGGAACUGAGACACGGUCCAGACUCCUACGGGAGGCAGCAGUGGGGAAUAUUGCACAAUGGGCGCAAGCCUGAUGCAGCCAUGCCGCGUGUAUGAAGAAGGCCUUCGGGUUGUAAAGUACUUUCAGCGGGGAGGAAGGUGUUGCGGUUAAUAACCGCAGCAAUUGACGUUACCCGCAGAAGAAGCACCGGCUAACUCCGUGCCAGCAGCCGCGGUAAUACGGAGGGUGCAAGCGUUAAUCGGAAUUACUGGGCGUAAAGCGCACGCAGGCGGUCUGUCAAGUCGGAUGUGAAAUCCCCGGGCUCAACCUGGGAACUGCAUUCGAAACUGGCAGGCUUGAGUCUUGUAGAGGGGGGUAGAAUUCCAGGUGUAGCGGUGAAAUGCGUAGAGAUCUGGAGGAAUACCGGUGGCGAAGGCGGCCCCCUGGACAAAGACUGACGCUCAGGUGCGAAAGCGUGGGGAGCAAACAGGAUUAGAUACCCUGGUAGUCCACGCCGUAAACGAUGUCUACUUGGAGGUUGUGCCCUUGAGGCGUGGCUUCCGGAGCUAACGCGUUAAGUAGACCGCCUGGGGAGUACGGCCGCAAGGUUAAAACUCAAAUGAAUUGACGGGGGCCCGCACAAGCGGUGGAGCAUGUGGUUUAAUUCGAUGCAACGCGAAGAACCUUACCUGGUCUUGACAUCCACGGAAGUUUUCAGAGAUGAGAAUGUGCCUUCGGGAACCGUGAGA
rnacentral:rRNA from 1 species